GCCAAGCGUGGGGCUCAGUUAAAUGCGCGAAGGAGGCGGGAUCGUGAGAAUAGUUCUGGUUUAGAAUGUUGAAAACAAAUGUGG